GUAAGUCGUGGUGUUCCGUAUUGCUUUGGAUGUGUAGCCCAGGAAUAAGAUGGCAGCACUGCAGGAUUCCGGAGCCACCCACAGCACCGACUGCUGCUGGAGAUACACAAUCAUGGGCACUCGUGAAGCUGCAGAAACUCACGGGGACCCUGACACCAGCUGCUCCUUGGACAGAGGGAGGCCCGUCAUCUGGGUCUGAAGGAGGCUCCCAAGACUCUGACACAGAACACUAAACUCCAGGGUGUUCUAGGACAGUGACAGGCAAGGCUGUUCUCAAUCAUCUCCUGUCUGACACGGACAUCGAGCUAAGCUAUGAGCAAGGGCGAACAAUGCCUCUCAGCAGCUCCUCCUCCUUGACCAGGCUCCCGACCACGGAGCAUUUCAGUCAAGGUCUAGGGAUUUGAGGGUGGAAGGAGAGAAUUUCAUCACUGGGGAGGAACUCCCCUCACAGACCCCCCAGGGCCACUCAGCUUCAAUCAGCUGUAACCCAGCCCCAACAUCUGCAGGCCACUGCGCAGGGAGUCCACGGUCAGCAGCCACCUCAGCACACCUCCUCCUGUGGCCACAUCUUCACUGGUUUCUGGAAUCCAACCUGGGGCCUUCCUGAAGCCAAGUGAGAAACUCAGGACAAGGCUUCUCUUCUUUGAAAGCCACAUCAAGUAGCACAAAGGACUGAGGUUUGCAGCUAUUUUAUUUACAAGUAUACAUUUAACACAAUGAAAUAAACACUGAUAUACUGAAGCCUAGUUAAUAGUAGUGUAACAAUAUGCAUCAUUUUGAUGAUUACAUUAUUUUAAACAACAAACUACACUGAAAAAUUAAUGCCGAUAAAAUUCUUGGUCAUAAUAUUAAGAAAUACAAUAUAUAAAUUGAAAAUAUGAUUGCUUAAAAUUUGAAAAUGGAAGUGAACUCAUUUGGACAGACUCAGAGUUAACAUAAUCUGAAGGGAGGGGAGCUCUGACCCAAAUGAUAUCUUUCAGGUUAACAGAAGAAAAAAGAAGCAUAGUUUAUCUUCAAGGAGAACGGGCAGUUUGCUUCUUCAGGUAGAAUAUAUUCCCAGUGUCCUCAGGCUUUGCAGCAGAAUCACAUCACCGAGCAUGAAGACUUGCCUUGUGAAGCUGCCCCGUCCAUUUUUUCUGCCUCCAAAAUUAUCCUUCGAAAAACAUCCACAGCAGUCUGAAAAGAGAAAGAAACCCAAUCACAGUGUUAGUGUGAAGCCGAACUCCGAGAGUAUUUUACGGACUGAGGAGGGCGUGCCGCCUGCCCUGCCCUCCUACUGGUGGAGGAGGAGGGGUUCUGGUGAGCCCCAGAACUUCAGGGCCCCCCGACGCCCAGUAAGGCCACUGUCCACCCCUCCUGACCCAGACCAUAACCAGCCUCCGAUUGUGCUUUUGACCCUGUUUCCUUCAGGCACCAGGAGACGCCCGAAGAGUCCUCACUCCCAGACUCACCACCAUCUCCUGUCCCACUCCACCCCAUGACCCCCACCCCAGUGUCCUCUGACCUCAGGGUCCCUCUUCACUUCUGGCACUAUCUUUCCUCCUUUCCUACGGGACAUACUCUCCCAGCAGCCCUUGCCUCUCACAUCCUUGACACUAAGAGGCCUGAAGUGGGGAAGGCACCCUCCGUGCUCCUGAGAUGCCACGAUGCCAGCCUCCAACACCUCUGUGGCGUAAUUCUCGGUCAUUUCAAUCCACAAACUGCCCUCCCUAUCUCCUGGCCUCUCCUCUCCUGCCCGUCUUCCUGCCCUCAGCCUCAGCCCAGGGUCAACCCCACCAGUCCUUCACCACAGACAGGAAUCAUGGCCACUUGGAGCAGGAACUCUUCCUACACUGAGUGGGGAGGAGAACUGUCAGACCCUGUCCUUUAUUUUUCCUUUUUUGUUAUACAGAUUGGAGGUUUCUAUGUUGCCCAGGCUGGCCUCGAAAGCCUAGCCUCGCCUCCUUAUGCACCAGGACAACAGGCCUGAGCCACCGUGACUCCCAGACCCUGUCCUUGAAAUGCAGUCCUGUGGUCAUGAAAAACUGCCCCUGUUCUCAGAAGCCCCACAGGAAGUACCCUGUUCUCCUAAUCACCAAGAAUCCCCCUCCCCCAUCACUCCAGUGACUUCCACUAUCCCACGAAACCAGAACACACCAACUGCCAGCGUCCCACCACACCACCUUCCCAGCUCUUUCUCUAGCUAUCCUGAAGCAACAAUUCUCAGCCCCACAAGGGGCCUGAUUUGUUGACCCUAUUAUUACAUCUCCCCUGUCCCUUAACCACUUCUUGCUGCUCCUUUCCCUCUCGGUCAGCUCAGACUCAGCAGGCCACCAUGGCGCCACUGUACUUCAACUCCCUUCCCUACCAACUGUCGCUGGCACGGUGCCCGCGGCCACACCGUAAACGCUGCCCAGGGAAAACACACACCGCUCACUGCUGACCUCACACCCAUGACCAGGAACCUGGCGCAGACACUUGGUGCUGCCUAGCCACCCGCCUGCAUCCCUGGAUCUGGGCACUCCCCAGAGAAAGCAUCCACGCCUUGUCCCUUCUCCUCAAAUGUUCCCCGUGCUUACGCUCAGCUGAAAACCUUGUUUUACACACUUCACUGGAAAACAGAAGCCACAUUCAUGAAAGAACUCCACAUCCUCCAUCCACCAAGCUGACCCACCCACUUGAAUGUGGGCUCCCAUCCUC
rnacentral:lncRNA from 1 species